rnacentral:rRNA from 1 species
GACGAACGCUGGCGGCGUGCUUAACACAUGCAAGUCGAACGGAAAGGCCUCUUUCGGGGGGUACUCGAGUGGCGAACGGGUGAGUAACACGUGAGUAACCUGCCCUUGACUUUGGGAUAACUUCAGGAAACUGGGGCUAAUACCGGAUAGGAGCUCCUGCUGCAUGGUGGGGGUUGGAAAGUUUCGGCGGUUGGGGAUGGACUCGCGGCUUAUCAGCUUGUUGGUGGGGUAGUGGCUUACCAAGGCUUUGACGGGUAGCCGGCCUGAGAGGGUGACCGGCCACAUUGGGACUGAGAUACGGCCCAGACUCCUACGGGAGGCAGCAGUGGGGAAUAUUGCACAAUGGGUGGAAGCCUGAUGCAGCAACGCCGUGUGCGGGAUGACGGCCUUCGGGUUGUAAACCGCUUUCGCUCAUGACGAAGCUUUGUGUGACGGUAGUGGGUAAAGAAGCACCGGCUAACUUCGUG